CAGUAGCCACGGUAAUACGUAGGUCCCGAGCGUUGUCCGGAUUGAUUGGGUGUAAAGGGUGUGCAGACGGCUUAUUAAGUCACUUGUUAAAUUCUUCGGCCUAACUGAAGGUCUGCAAGUGAUACUGAUGAGCUAGAGGGUGGAAGAGAGAAGUGGAAUUCUCGGAGUAGCGGUAAAAUGCGUAGAUCUCGAGAGGAACACCAAUGGCGAAGGCAGCUUCUUGGUCCAUUCCUGACGUUCAUACACGAAAGCGUGGGGAGCAAACAGGAUUAGAUACCCCCGUAGUCCCUGUCUCUUAUAC
rnacentral:rRNA from 1 species